rnacentral:rRNA from 1 species
GGGGGCGGGAGAGGCCGACGGUAUUCCCGGGGUAGGGGUGAAAUCCUAUAAUCCCGGGAGGACCACCAGUGGCGAAGGCUGUCGGCUAGAACGCGCCCGACGGUGAGGGAUGAAAGCUGGGGGAGCGAACCGGAUUAGAUACCCGGGUAGUCCCAGCUGUAAACGAUGCAGGCUAGGUGUUAGAACGGCCACGAGCCGUUCUAGUGCCGCAGGGAAGCCGUUAAGCCUGCCGCCUGGGGAGUACGGCCGCAAGGCUGAAACUUAAAGGAAUUGGCGGGGGAGCACCACAAGGGGUGAAGCUUGCGGUUUAAUUGGAGUCAACGCCGGAAACCUCACCGGGGGCGACAGCAGGGUGAAGGCCAGAUUGAAGGUCUUGCCAGACAAGCUGAGAGGAGGUGCAUGGCCGUCGCCAGUUCGUGCCGUGAGGUGUCCUGUUAAGUCAGGCAACGAUCGAGACCCGCAUCCCCUGUUGCUACCAGCCUUGAGCUGGGCACACUGGGGAGACCGCCGCCGAUAAGGCGGAGGAAGGAGCGGGCCACGGCAGGUCAGUAUGCCCCGAAUCCCCCGGGCCACACGCGAGCUGCAAUGGCAGGUACAAUGGGUUCCAACCCCGAAAGGGGAAGGUAAUCCCUAAAGCCUGCCGUAGUUGGGAUCGAGGGUUGAAACUCACCCUCGUGAACAUGGAAUCCCUAGUAAUCGCGCGUCACUAUCGCGCGGUGAAUACGUCCCUGCUCCUUGCACACACCGCCCGUCGUUCCACCCGAGCGACUCUUGGGUGAGGCGUGGUCCUUUGUGGCUGCGUCGAACCUAGGUUUCGUGAGGGGGGAAAAGUCGUAACAAGGUGGCCGUAGGGGAACCUGCGGCCG